CUGCAGAGUCCCACUGAGCAUCCAUCUCCCCUUUGCCUUUUGUGCCCAGGAUGCCCGAAGCCAGCACUAAAAUGACAAGGGUGAGGAAUAAUUUAUUUUUAAAGAGUACCUAAUUAUCUAAUUAGUGCUUGUUUGCUUUACAUAUUGUCUUGAAUACAAUCUGCUUUCCUGCUUGUUUAAUGUUGGCUGAAGUUUGACUAGUUUAAUGAAGAGAUGUGAUUUUGAUGAAAGUGGCAAUGGAAAAGUAGGGGGCAAGUGGGGUGAAGGCGGGGUGAGCCGGUGCUUUCCCUGUGCGUCUGGUGUCCUCCCAGGCUGGCUGGGGGGCAGGACACCUAAAGUGCACGGACAGCUUUUUGACAGGCAGCUAAGCCCCACUUGGGCAGAAACUGCAAAAUUAGAUGUUUGGAGGAGAUAUGCAUGAAAUAGCAAUUGUUAUUCUUUCACUUAGAUAACAAGCUUCAAAAGGCAAGGGCCAGGUCUUCCUUACUCUUUUAAGAAGAGAGGUAUAAAAGGAGGAAAUUAAGAGGAAGGGGAAGAAAAUGAAAGAAUGAAGGAAUCUUUUCUUCAGGGACUAGCAUCCAGAAUCUAUAUAAGCUAUCUACCCAGAUACUCAACCAUCAAUUAUUUCAGGAGUACGCAUGAUCCAGGCUGAUCCACAAAAUAGACUUUCUUGGUGGUCCAACAUCUUUUUAAAAAAUAAUAUGUUUUUUUCUGAUUAUUAAUAAGGUAUAACGUAUAUUAUUACUAAACCAAGGGUUGUUAAGAAUUUAAGGUCUUCUUAUAAAAGAUAAAAUAAUUGAAAAAAAUACAUGCAUAAAGAUGAAUCUAAAUGUUAGAUUGAUGAUCAUCACCCAGAGUAUCUAGAACUAAUAUUUUGAUGGAUUUCCUUGUAGGCUUUUUUCCUUUAGAAGUAUAUUUCAGCUUCCUUUCCUAAAAUGAUGGCCCUCCACCAACCAUAUCCUUUGCAAUUUAGAUGCAAGCAUUAUAUACAGAUAAAUUUAUAGGUUUUACAAAAAUAUUAUAACAUCAUCUUCCCAUUGUUUUUAAAAACUAUUCCAAAAAGACAUUUACUUUCAUUCUCCCCUUUUAUUGGACAUAUACAUUAUUUCUACUUUUUAUUCUUCUGAGUAACACAGUAAUAAACCAUCUUGUACACAUACUUCUGUCCAGAUCUCUGUUAGAAUAGCUUUCCAAGUCAGAGUACAUAUGUCACUUUCCUCAUUUACUAAAUGUAAGAUUAAAAUAAUACCUGCUUGAUGGAGUCAUUAGUGAUAUUAAACAAGAUAAUGCUUAUAAAAUUGCGGAAUAUAGUCCUUGGUGCAUAGUAGGUACUCAGUAGACAUUUCAUCUCAUUACUUUUUAAUCCUUUUAAAGGUCUGAUAGAUAACACCAAAUACACUUCCUGCACAACUUUCAACGUACGACUCUCUCUAGUGAAUUUCACCGCAUCCCCAGAGUCCCACUGCUUAAAACUUUCUUAUUUAGUUAUCCAUCUUCAGAAAACUAUUAAUGGAUACAAGAUUCAAAAGAACAGAAUCAAAUGUGAGGCCGUUGGGAGAGCCAAUAUGAAAACAGGAAUUUCGUUAUAGUACUGACUCACCAGCAUAGUCUCAUUAAUACAAAAAUGUACCAGCCGAGGUCAGACUGGUCUUGGUCCUGUCGGGCUGGACGCCCCUCUGUCUUCUUUGGCUCUGACUCUCUCAGUCACACAUUUCUCAAACCACCUCUAACAACUUCCAAACAGCCUGGCUGAAUGGUUUCGUGGGGAAAAGGGUCACCCCCCUCACCCCCGGCCCCCCAACCAGACUGCUUUUCAACCUUCUACAUCCUGUGUCCCACGAAGCAAAGUUUCUGUUUUAUUUUCAAACUCUGUUUAGUGUGGAUUCCUUCGGCUGCCCCUUCUCCGCCUUUAGCACUUUUCCUUAAUAGUCGUCUAAUCCCCAUCUUACUGUGGUUGAAACUUUUGAGCUGCAAAAUUAGCCGUUUAUAUGGGAAAAAGGAGUUGUGCCAGGGACCAUUUUUCAACAUUUAAAAAACUCCUCCAAACAUUUAAUAGUAUUUAUAUUAUUGGAUCUGUAUUUGAAAUUCUGUCAAUGAGCAGUCAGUACACAGGUAAUGCCUCUUUUUUUACAGAUUCAACAGUGUAAGUCUCAUUCUUUCUGACCCUGGCACUGUUUGUGGGGAAUAUUCACUUUUUAAGUCAGAAAAGAGAUAAUUUUAAAUCCGCCCAAGACUCCUUCCAUAUUGCCAAAUAUCCUUUAUAAAACACUAGCGACAGAAAACAGGAAGUCCUAAAGCUGUCAGUACUGCUGGAAAGAACCAGGGAAAUUGAACAAUUUAAGGUCUUCCUAGCAACAGCUACCAUGUACUGAACACACACUGUUGACGUGCUUCACCUUAUUUUACCUAUAGGCAGGUUAAGAACUGCGCAGGGUCAUGCGGUGAGCGGACUGUGCUGCCAGGAUUCACAGCUAGGCAUCUUGGCCCUUAGCCCCUAGAAUACCUGUCUCCCCCCCACCAAUGCACGUAUCUUAAUGUACAUACUUCACAUAAAAUCCUCACAUUCAUUGUAGAUGAGAACUCUUCUUGUAACAAAAAGUAAAGUGCCUCCCAAUGUCAGCGUGGCAUUGGUAUAGUCUUGGUGACUGAUAUUCCCAGGUAAUUAUGCUGGCAGCCUUUGGCUUAGGAAAAGUACAGACGAAGAGAAGAGACACCAGAGAAGUUCAGAGUUAUAAAAAAAAACACGUCGCACAUGCUGUUUGGAAAUGACCCAAACCGUUCUCAAAGGCUCCCGUCUUCCACCCUCUCCAGUUAGCACAAGCUGUCCCCUGCCACCUACUGGCCGCCCCUUCAGCCAACAAGCAGCCAGACCUCAGCGUCAAGUACAGAGUGAGCCCCAGCGGGACUGCGGGGAGAGCAACUCUGUCCUCGCCUUUGAGGAGCUGGCACGGUCUGACUGCAACCUAGUGAACGACAC